rnacentral:miRNA from 1 species
UCAGAAGAGGCAGUGGAGGAGAU